GGGAGCAGGAGGGUCGCUGACAGUGUACGACACUGAGGAAAGUCCCCUCUCCGCGAUGCAGGUGGUCCGACGUGAGUCGGAGGUCCGGGAGGGCCGGCUCUGCAACAGAAACGAACCGCGCCAGGCGCACUGUGAACCCGA
rnacentral:RNase_P_RNA from 1 species